AUUAUAAAGUAAGGUUCUCUCUCCUGUGAGAGCGCCACGUCACUAAGUCGUUCGACGAUAGAGCGACAUGUGUCCUGAUUUAUUUAAACGCUGCGCAUCAUUUUCUCGCUGGUUACGUUCGUUUAUGUGUUGUGUUUUGGGCUGUGUCUGGCCCGUUAGAACAGAAGUCCUAAGUAACCCUAAUUUGACUCCAGAGAAAAACAAGCGUCUUCUUCCCUGUACGUACUACGCUGACCAGAUGCCGAUUCCACUUCUUCUCAUCGACUGAAACGAUCCGUGAUCAAUUCCAUUAGUUCACUCCCCCCACUAUUUCGUCUUCAAUGCUUCGUUUUGAUCUGAAAGGCGGUUUUUGUUGGGUAUAAAUAUGUGUGGAGGGAUCAUAAACUCCAGAAGAAAUGAUUGCUAUACUACAAAGAGUUGUGGAAGAUAGUUCACCUGUUAUUUUAACUGCAAGGUUGAAGCAGAGGAAAGAAGAACCAAUUUGCAUCUGAGAGAGGAACAAGAUGCUGCUUACAGGGCUGCUCUUGAAGCCGAUCAAGCACGGGAGAGCCAGAGACAGGAAGAGGAAGAGCGGUUAGAGAAGGAAGCUGCUGAGGCAGAGAGGAAACGAAAAGAAGAAGAGGAGGCUCGGAGAGAGCCGAGCGUGAAGCUGCAGAGAGAAAAACUGCUAGAGUGAGAAUGAGACCAGAGAAAGCACUUUCUCUUGGAGCGAACCUGAGAAAGUACCUGAUGUUGCACAAGUAAGUUCUCCUCCUUUUCUUUGCCAUUCAUUACUUUCUCUGUUUUGCUUUUGUUGGAUAUUUAUGGUACACGUGGACUGUUUAUUUGCCGUGACAAUGUAGGUUUUGGUAAGGUUCACUUGGAGUGCUUGAAACAGAAGAGUAUAGCUUCAUCACAAUCUUUCCAAGAACAGUGUACAGAAGAGACAAAGAGUCAAUGUCACUGAAAGAUGCAGGUUUGCAUCCUCAGGCAAGUGUGUUCAUUGAGAUACAUUAGAUUCUUCUUUUUCUUUCUCCUUAAGCCACUUUUUUUCAGUUUUUUUCCAGCUCUUUUAAAAUAAUUAGUAGUGUAGCUUCAGUGAUCUGAUGAAUAAGAUAACAUAUAUAUACACAUAUUUUCAGAAGUUGUGUCACAUAUUUGAUAUAUUUCUUUCUUAAAAUUAUGAGGUCUCGCAUUGUACUUUUUCUCUUGGUGUCAUAUUGAAGACAUCAAGAUCGGUCUUUGUUUCUAGCUGCAACAAAUAAUUCUUUAGUUGGUAAAUUUCUGCAUAUCAAAAAUGUGUUAUAUAUUGUGAACUGGAAGAAAAAUGUAUGAAAAAGUACAAUUAACUAACAUUUUAAAAAAUGUCAAAAAUAAAAAUAUUGAUGACAAUAUAAAAUAAUUAUAUAUUGGUGAUAAGCUAACUAAAUGAUUUCUAACAAUGAUAAUAUAAUAAAUAGUAAAAGUUGUAAAAGAAAAUAGUAAGAAUAAUAUAAUACGAAAAUGAUUUUCUGGAUAAGUCAAAACUUAAUUACAUCAUUAAUCAUGAUAAAAUAAGUACUAUUAUAAGUUCAGACAUUUUUUUUUGCUGCCAUAUCAACAAAUGGAAAAAGAAAACAUGAUACAUCAAUGUAAAUUUUUAAAAUUUAUGAUAAAAAUCACAUUUUUAACAUUUGAAUAGUGAACCAUAUAUAUGAACAAUACAGCAAAUGCUCCAUAAAUAAUAUUUAUAACUAACAAUACGUCAUAUAUUUAUGGUUGUUUGUUAUCUUUUUGGUUUAGCCUAAACUUUGGUAGUAAAAAAACAAAUUACAAAAUUUAUUAUUUUCAAAUUUUUGUUAAUGUGGGUUUAAAGAAACAUAUCAAAACAACAUGAAUAUAUUUUUCUCAAAAAUAAUAAUGCAUUAAUAUAUAAUCUAACGAUUUGUAAAUAUUAAACAAUAACAACUAAUAUCAAUAUUUUAUGCUACUUGCCUAUUUUUCUUAAAAAGAUAAAAAUUGGAUUUUCAAUUUCGAUUUUUUAAAUUAUAUAAUUUGAGAAGAAAUGUAUUUAGAAUCCAUUAAAUUAAAGAAAAGCAAAUGUUGUGAACAAAGUAAAAUAUUUAUAUUUUGAUGAUUGUUUAAAUAUAGUAACAAAUGUACAAUUUAAAAAAAAAGCAAAAAAUAGUAAAAUUUAUACUUAUAAUAUUGAAAUUUAUAAUAAAAUAAACUAAAAUUUUCACUAAAAUUUAGAUAUGUUUAUAUUAUUGUUUAAUUUGCUUAUAAUAAAAUAAACGUUCAUUUGCAUACCCGCCCGUAGGGCGGGUCCGACCCUAGUUAUAUAUAAAAGAAGGUUUUUUCUCUUUUGUGAAGACAAGUCAGCGCCAUGUCAAUAAAUUCAAGGAAUCCAGCCAACGAGAAACCCUAAUGAUCUCAUUCAAGAUUUCAUCCCAAUCUUUCUUCUCCGCCAUCCGAGAGAUUUAGAUGUUUAGUUUGCAUGAUGAAGAAUCUGGUGAUGAAUCUCUUCGUAGGGUUUCGAUUGUGUCGUUUGAUCUUCAUUUUGAUUAACCAAAACGUCUCAGUUACAGAUUCAUCGCUUUAAACCCCUUCUUAACUCCAUCAACCACGAUCUAGACUUCAAUGCGAUUUACUCUUUUGCUAGGCGGUGUAUCUGCGAUUACAAGUAUAAAUAGGUUAGCCUUUCUCCUCUCAAAACCAUCUUCUCAGCAAAGUAAACUUAUUAUUUUUUCUGAUUUGAAGUCUGGUGGGUGUUCUUUCACUGUUAAGGUUAGCUUGCUGCAAUUCUGUGAGGCUACGAAUGUCAAACGCGGUAGGGACGUCUUCCUCGCCUAUUUAAAGCCUUAAAGGUACAUCCUCUCCCACAAAAAUUAUCUAUCCAAUUCUCCUCAAUCAUAAGCUUCUCAGAAAAUCCAGAGAAAAUUGCUAACUUUGCUGUCCUUCUCGCAAUUAAAUUGGCGCCGUUGUUGCUCCUCCAUCGUGGUUCGACGACUCACUCUUGCGACAAUCAUUGAAACCUGUCGCAACCUCCUUCAUGUGACGAUCAUUGAAUCACCUCCAUCUUGCAAGCAUCUGAAAAAAAUAACACAGGCUGAAACAAGGUUAUUAUCUGGAACUUGUGUGUUGGUACAUGCUGAGCAUGCUGUUGACCCCUCACUUGCUAAGACAAGCUAUUCUCUGUUCGGAGACUUCAUUGCGGCCAGGUGUGAGGAACCAGUUUAUCGGAGGGAAAUCAUAAGAGGCAGCGUGAGGUUGACUCAGUCAUGGCAAUUUAUGUGCUGAGGUUCUGAUAUUUAAGGAACAUGUUUACGUUUUGUUACACCAGAGAUUUUGGUCAAGCUGAACCACUCUCCCUCGAAAUGUCAGACUCAUAUAAAUAAUUUAUAUAAAAAAAAUUUUGAACAGGCUUCCAGUUCCUCACACCCGGAAACAAUGACACUUUUGUUGUACUCUACAUAUGAGGAUCAUAUUACUUUAUUAUUAUAAAAAUAUUUGGGUUUUGUUAUUUCAGUUGCUCAGAUUUUCAAGGUGGGUAUAAUCAAAUGGUCUGAGGAUCAACAAUACAUUGAAGACUUUUAUUACUCUGCUGAUCAAGUGCCUGAUGGAAUAGCUAAAAGAUUUUAUUCGUUUUUGAUUUAUCAUGUUAUCUUAGAGCAGCAUUAACGCAGGGUUUUAAAGACUUUUAAGAGCUAUGGGACCCACCAAAAAGUUAAAACCCACUCCUUCCUCUUCUGCAAGAGGCGAGUGUGGUAAAGUUUCUGUACUGUUCACAGGCCCCACUGAAACGUGGCGAUCCGCGAUUGAUCUAUCUUUAAUUUUUUUUUUUUUUAAAUCGGACAAAACAAAAAAAAAUAUAAAAUAAAAAUUAAGAACCCAGUUUUCUCUUGCUUGCGUUAAUCCUGCUCUUAGGGUGUUGUACUCUUUACUGGUGUACAAAUUCUUACUACCUUUUCGUUUUUUCUCAAUGAUAUUCGAUAGGUUAGUUAAUGUCGAUUUGCUCUUCAUCAUUUGUUGCAGGAGGGUGAAGGGUUAUGCUUAACCUGCGUCGAAUGCUAAAAAAUUGUUGAAAAGGAUGAGCCUUAACAGAUUCAUUUUUGGUGCCAGUACUAUUAUAUGUUGCUUCUUUCGUUCACUUUGUAAGGCCAUUUGUGUGUCAGAAAAAAAAACUUAUUUUAAGUGACUAUCCAUGACAUGAUAUUGGUAACUUGCUUGACAGUUUUUGAGGUAGUUGGUGAUGCUUUUGUUUCAUAGUACAUAUUUUAAACCGGGGUAAGUAUCUAUAUUAAUAAAGUAGCCUAGAAUGGCUCUAGGUGAAGCCAAGUUCUUUUUGUUGACACGUGUACUCACCUCUAAACUGAAAUUGUUCGUGAAAAAAUGAAGUGAUUUCGGCUGCACAACUUGGGUUUUCUCUAAUUAUAAAAUCUGGUCUACCUGUAUAUUUACACGAAACAAUAAUUUUAAGUUGGCCCAAUGUUCAGGCCCACUUCAGUGUUACUCUUUCUUUGCACCAGGUCUUUACUUAGACAGAGGCGUCACGCUUGCGAUUCCCUUUCAUCUUUUCAAUCAUGUUGCGCUCAACUGAAAUGAUAAUCAGUAACGUUAUCGCACUACACCCACUACAUCGUCUUCAAUUCUUCUUUAAUUUCUCCUUCAGUUUCGUGGAUCCAUAUAUAUACAAACCAAGCUAGAGACGAACCGAAUUCCUAUUCAUUUCGACCAUGGCGUCUUCUCAAGUUCAUUUCCGGAGCUUAAGGCCGGCCGUUGCAAGCAGAUGUUUCACACCAGACUCCUGCAAUUUUACGAUGGCCGGAAUGUCAAUAAAGGUGGGGAGCUGAUGGGAGUUGACAUGUUCCUUAUAGAUGUGAAGACCUAAAUCAAUUAUCAACAGGCUCACACUCAAACACGUUUUGAAAGAAUGCUCGCUUUAUGAGCUCAGUGUUUUUGAUGUUGCAAGAAGCAACACUAACUUCAGGUUUUGUGAUGCUCCUGUCGCUAUUAGAUUCACUGAACAAACAUGAGGAACACAUUCUCUCUGAAGCCCAGAUUUCAUGGCCAACUCUCACCAGGUACUAUCUCUUUGACGAACAUGUACCUUUAUAUUAAACUUCCACACCUAAAAUCAGUCUCUUCCCUUUCUGAGAAAACGUUCUGUCAUGAAAACAAGACAUCAUUCUCUAAAUCAACGAUUUGUUGUCAUUCAGAAACGUCACAGUCUCAUUAUUUCUAUUGUUACUAUUUACGAAAAGUUCUGUUUGGGUUUUUGUUUACCUGCUACUUCCAUUGUAAUAAGCCUUUGGUCUCAUGCGUUUUCAUUCAAUAGAAGACCUGGAUGAGCUCCUCAGUUGUGUUGUGGGCGUAGAUAUGCGUGGAUAUGCUCAUGCCUUUCUGGGAUGCUCGGAAUCUCAAGAAAGGCGUCAAUUGUCGGUCUGAUAAUCUCGAAAGUGAUUGAGAUGAUCCUCUAUGAUUAAAGAGUUUUCUUCUCAAGCUAUGUUGAUUUAGGCUUCGAUUAAUGUCCACUGGCUUAAGACUUCAAACACAUAUUGAGUGAAGGAACAUUUUAUGAUCUCAGUGCUUUUGAUGUGACAAAAAGCAAUCCCAGCUUCUGCUUUAGCGAUUGCCAACAUGCUAUUUGCUUCAGUGACCAAACCGUCUUUGUGGAGCUCACUGAACCAUUUGAACAGAUUCCGCUUGAGAGUUUCAGGUUCUGGAAUUAUGAAAGCAAGUUACAAUGAAGAGACUCAGUGUAUCCAGCGCAUGAUGAUCACCCUAAGCAUUAAAAGCCACUCAAAUGUCUGCCUAAGUGCUUUUGACGGAUGAGUUAAAGACUUUGAUGAAUAUUUGCCUGUAAUGCUAAUGGUGUUGUGGAAUAUGGAAGCGGUGAGGCCAUAAAACCAAGUUACGCCUCUGGUGAUGGUCGGAACACAAGUGAGGUUACCCAGAGAAGGAAGAUGGGUCCUCUGGAAAUAAGGCACGGUACGGACUGACUAAUUUGAAAGAACAAGGAGAGCUUAAAUUACACAACAUGGUGACAUGCCUUUUGCAUUAGGUUUAAACUAAAAAAUUCACAGACAAUGAAGUUAGAAUACUUCAAAUCUUUAGCAUAUUUGGUUCUGUUGAUUUAGUUUUUACUUUUGCACCCGUUCAGACAUUUUUAAUCCAGUAAAUUUGAAAUUCCUCCUACAACCACCGUAUCCUUACUCUAAUUGAACAUAUGAUAGUUUUUGCCUUUGCUGUACGUUAUAAGAAUUCUCACCAUCUCAGGCGUUUAAAAUGUCCAUAAACUAUGUAUUCCUUAUAUACCCACACACCUUCUCCAGCCUAACAACGACAGUAAAUGGAACUUCAAAAAUAUAAAUUUAGGCGAACAAAAUAGACACGUACCUUCCUUCUUGAGUGGUUACUAAUUACUUUAUAGUUUUUGGAGUUUGAAAAUGUCAUUCCCCUCUGUAACGUUGUUUUGGUCACAAUUUACACGGUAACUAAAUAUAAACGAAGAUUCUUGGGUUUGUUUCUCACACAACAAACAGAUUGAAUUCCCUCAAGUUAAAUGCUUUUACAGAGCUGUUGAUCACAUAUUUUCCUGGCUUGGAACUCCUCAAUUCCUUUGCAAAUGGUUAAGAAGAAACCUCCACCCUCUGAUAAACGUAACACGAAGCCGUCUGCUGGAGUCAAAGCUCAGGCUGUGAGAGGAUCGUCAAGCACCACACACGCAACGUCUGUAAUAAAAAUAACAAUAACAGGUACGCCAGCGGAUAUAUCUAGCUACGAACGUAAACUCGACCAUGACUUAUUGUUUGUUUGUUUCAAAAUUGACAACGCCGGUGUUCAUGCUAGACAGCCUUGGUUAAACGAAAUCUACUUGAGAACCACACGAGCUUCCACUUGGUCGCAGCACCACAACUAUACUUAAGUAUGUCUUAUUGUUUUUAUGUGCAUCUAAGACCUCAGGAGUCUACAUUUUAAGUUUAAACUAGAAUAGCACCUGCGCCAUGUGUGGUUAAAUUUUAUCUUUAUAGUGAUAUAUAAUUUACUUAUAUACGAUAAACCGGCUUUUAACAUUGUAGUUUUGUAUACUGUUAUCAUUCCUCCCAAAUUAAACGUAUUUUAUUCUGGUAUUGUGUAUUUUUUUACGAUACAUUGUAUUAUGUUAUUGGGGGCUUACGUUGUCGUCGGAUGAUAUUUUCCAUUUUUGGCAAUUUUUUUAUAUAUUUUCUUUUUUUUUGUCAGCUUUUUAUAUAUUUCCUAAGGUUUCAAUUUGUGGUUUAUAAUUUUUUACAUAAAUUAUUUGGUUAUAAUAUAUUUUAUAUACAAUAUAAUUUGUUUGUUUAAUCUUUGAAUUUUACAUGGUAUAUAUUUUUCUUAAAAAGAUGUUAUAAAUGUAUAAUAAUUCAGUGUUUUGACAUAGGACUGCGCAAAAAAACCCGAAUCCAAAAAACCGAACUGAGUCCAAUCCAAAAAAUUAGCACCAUAUAUACCUGAACCAAAAUUGAUUUAAUAUCUGAACAGUUCAAAAUUUUGGUAUCUAAAAAACCGGAACUGAACCAAACUUAACCCAAAUCAAAGUAUUUCUGGUAUUCGAAUAUAUCCGAAAUAAAUAUAAGAUAUUUUUAAGUUAUCUAAAAUAUUAAAAAUAUAUAUAAAUAGUAAAAAAUAAAUAUCUAAAAUAGUUAAAACAAUAUUCAAAACACUAAAAUACUUGAAAUAUCUAUUGAUUAUCUAUUCAAAUAUUCAAGUUAAAUUAAUUUGUACGUUAAGUUUAGGUAUUUUAGUACAUGUUAUUUAAAUUAUAUGUAAUAUAUUUUUUAAUAUUUUGAGAAAUUUAUAGUAUGUAAUAUAUUUUUUAAUAUGUGGACUUAAGCAACGUUAUUUUAUUAGAUAUUAAUUCUAACAUUCACAAUCUGACCAUCGGAGGAGGUGUUGUUAUAGACAUUUCAAUUAAAAAAGAAACUCCAGAGAAGUAUAUGUUCUACAGUUUCUUAAAUUGCUCACAGACUUCCGUUUCUUUCUUUAAUCAUGCUUUCGGGCCUGACUUUAGACGUCACAGUGAUAACGAAAUAAAAAAAUUGACCUCCACCAAAUGUAGAUAGUCUUACAGAUAAGAAAUCAUAACACCCUAAAAAUUUAAUAAAAAUACUAUUUAUAUCUUUAAUAAAUAUAGUCUCCUUAGUUUCAAUUACGUUUUUAUAAAACUUACGAUUAAAAGUACACAAUACAAAAUUAGUUAGGUUUUUUUUAUGAAUAAAAACGACAUCUGAUGGGUUUAAAUCUUAUAGUUCAACUUCUUAAUUUUAACAAAUUUUGAACUAAAUUGGUUUGACGGUUAAUUUAAGAGCUGCUAAUUUUAAAUUAUAACCAUUAAUAGUUCUCACCACAGAUGAUUCAUGUAAUAUAUAUAGCUUCACAUUACUGCUGAAACAUUUCAAUAGCCAAAUCAUUCUUAAGCAAAACCAUUACGAGCAUUUCAAUUUUUACAACAAAUAAACCAAAGUAAAAAAAAUCAAUAACACAAAUACUUAUCUACUAAUAAUAGCAAUCCCAAUUAAUUCCAAAGGUUGUGAAUCUCACUUAUGCUGAAAGGUUGUGUCUUUUGAAAAAGAUGUGUAAAGGGUUGUGUCUUUUCUAAAAGUCCUAUGUUAUAAAGUUGUGUCUUUUAUAAAUAAUUAUCUAAAAGUUGUGACUAUUCAUAAAUAUCUUUUAAAAAGUGAAAAGUUGUGACUAUUAGAAGAAUGUGACUAUUCAGAUUGAAGGGUUGUGACUAUUUAAAUAGAUUUUAAAAAUCUAUAAAUAGUCUUUGUCAUGCAUUUUUUAAAUUUAAAUUUUCACUAAUCUACUAAUAAUCUACUAAUAAUAAAAUGGUGGAAGGUAGAGUUUUCUCUGGAAGAUAUGGUUAUGUGCGUUCGCUUUAACUUUAUGAUCAGUAAGAUUCAUAACAGCGAAGGAGACAACUUCUUGAUCACGUCAUAUGUGAUACAUAGAAUAUUAGAUUUUUUUGUGCAUAAAAAAUUUGACCCAAAAUUGUUUAAAUAGAAUUGAAAAGGUACGAAUGGUAAAGUGUGUGAAUAGGUAUAUAUAAAAAUAAUAUAAAGUUGCAACUGUAGGGCUUUAUAACAUUUCGAAGUGAAAAUGUACGAUUAGUAAAAUAUGCAACUUUUUAAAAAUCAAGCAGGUAUUAGUGACAUUUUUUCGAAGGAUGUAACUUUUAGAGAUAUUUUUUCACAACCUUUAAGAAUGAAAAAACACAACUCUUCACUUCAAUUGAAAGGUUAUAUGUUUUCAACAAUUAAAAGUUAUGUCUUUUUAUUUAAAAUAACUGUUUAUAUUGAAAAGUUGUGACUUUUCAUAUAUGUAUCAUUUCAAUAUAUAUAUGUAUUAUUUCAAUAAGAACAAUUUUUAUAUUGAAAAGAUGUAGCUUUUGAGACAAAUUUUUGAAAAUCUAUAAAUAGUUUGUAUAUUAUUUCUUAAUGGUUGUAUAUGUGCGUGUUAUACAACAAUUUGGCUUGAAAUCCCAUUCUUUUAAACGAUUUCUUUUAUUAAAACUGAUUUAGACACAUGAAACCAUGACAUAACAAAAUAAUAUUUAGGGUUUAGAAACUUACUGCCCAAGACACACAUGAGGAACACUUAACCUUUACGACAUGGACCUGGAACGGUGUAUCUCUCGUACUACAGCGGUAUGAGCGACAACUCUGAUGGUUUACGGCUAGUGGUGGUGAAGAUCAUCAGUCCCGCUGGUGUCAAGAUACGGUGUCUCCGGCUCGUAUGUCUCCUUUCCCUCUCGGCUCACGUUCUCCACAUACAAACCAUAUAUGAAGCCUCAACGCCAUGGACGGGAUGGCACAGAACGAGGCAUGUGAUGGCAGGGGCUGAUACUCCCGUGGUGAUGACUCGUCGUGGUUAGUGAUAAACAGCGGCGGAUCCACACUUUCCCACGAGACACCAAGACAAAGUGGAGCAAGAUGGGUUGGAGGAGGAGAGAAACGAUGGAAAGAGGGAGAUGCAUGUGGAGGUGGACCAGGUGGUGCUAUGGAGGUGAUGGCUCCUCACUCGCACGCUUUCAACAUUGGCGGCUUGUCACAUGGAAGAAGUUCUCUCCAUUAUAUAAUUAGGUUUAUGUGUGUACAAACACACGACUUGAAAAAAAACGAUAAGGCUUUGUUUGAUAGUAAAUUAAAACAAACAAAAAAAGAGCAAUUCUCGGUUUGGUUUAUAGAAAAAUAUUAAUGAAAAUAAAUUAAACCAAAUUUAUGAAGUGAAGAAAUGCAGUUUUCUUAAUGCUACAAAUAAAAAGCACCCAUUCAGAUCAUGAGUUAGCAGUCGUAUCUCUUCCGCAAACAAAUGCAACGUUUCAUUCAAUUGACAUCUUCAUCAAUUAUAUAUGUAACUCACUUCCAAAUAUUUUUAAACUCAUCUUUGGAACUUCUAGAAAACUGACUAAUUUUUCAGUAACUUUCAUUUCAGCAAAUGAUUACUUUAAUUUUAAAUUUUGUGAAAGAGUUUAUGAAUAUCACCACCACCAACAGUUUUCUUUUGCUUUUUUAUGUCUUUCAAUUUCUCAAUAUUUCCAUCAUACAAUUACUUAAUUUUUUUCAAGAAUCAGAUGUAUCAAGUAGAAAUAACUUAUUUAGUUGCAUUUCUAUCAUUUCCAAUAUUUUUUUUAUUUGAUAGGACGAAGUUGCGAGGCGAUUAUUUGACAGAUAAUUAGACAUAAAUUAUCAAUUUUUUAGAUUUAUGUAUUACCUUUGAACAUAUCGAUCGCAUCGGGUAUAUAUACAUAAGAUUUUUUUCUGUUGAUCGAUUUUUAAAGAUUUUUAAAAAACACAUAUAAACGUAGAAAGCUCUAUUUGUUAUUUUCUGUGCAUUAACCUAAAUCUUAAAAAUUUGAUUGAAAACUUAAUAGACUUCUGGAGUAUCUCCAUCUUAAUACCAUUUUGUCUUCCAAAAUACUAUUUACUACUCCAACAGAAGUCAUCAUGUCUUCAAAAGGUAAAUUCAUAAUUUAUCAAUUUAAUUAACUUUUCCAGAAAUUCAAGGUAAUAUUAUAAAUUUGAAAGGUUAUUUCAACAUAUAUUUAGUAAGAUAUCCAAUCUCUUUAAUAUUCUUUCAAAUAAAUAAAGCAAAUAAAUAAAUAUAUUAAAAUAAUAAUAUAUUAUUAUUUACCAACAUAGAAAUAGUAAUUGUUUUAAAAAUUAUGAACUAAUAAUUCUAAUAUUGUUUCUUAAAUAGGAAAGUUAUUUAAAUAUCAUGCAAAAAUAAUAAAAUCAUGUAAAAAGUGAUUGUGAUAUAUAUAUAAAAUUUAGAACAACAUUUCAUUGAUAAUUAUAAAGUAUAUUAUGUGAAAAUUGUAAGAAUAAACUUAAAAAAUGGAAAUGCAAUUGUUUGUAAUAUUUGUUCUGAUAAAAAUACAAUCAGAACAUUAAUGUUUAUAUAAAUAUAUCUUCAAAUACUUUGUAAAUCAUAUUUUAGUUAUCAAAAUUAAAUAUUAUUUAUAUAAUUUAAUUAUUACUAGCUAUAUCUUUAUAAAUAAAGAUUGUAAGAUAUAUAUUUUUAUGCAAUAUGAGUUUCCGUGCGACAUCGCACGGGUUUCUUUACCUAGUAAAUACAAUAAAAUACAACACAUAAAUAAUUGAAACAACAUCCCGCCCGUAGGGCGGGCAAACCACUAGUAUAUUUAAUGUUAUGACAAACACGAGACUAAAGUCCUAAUUUGGGUAAAUAAACAUUGAUUAAUCUGAAGUUUAGUAAAAUUUAUUUUAACAUGAUAUAUAUGUAUAAAAGAAAUAGUAUUUUAAAUAAAUGAGAAUACUGUAACCUUAUCUUAAAAUAAAUUAAUUAUAUAUAAGAAAUCCAAUAUUAAAGAAAUAUAAUUAAUGAGUAAAAUAUUUUUACAAAACCUAAUUGGUUAUUGGAUAAUAUUGUUUAUUUAGUCAUCAAAUAUUCAGUCAUAUAUUUAUAUAAAUAUUAAUAGUUAGAACUAUGUUUUCAUCAUGUCUUUUUUUCUUCCAAACGGACAGUUCCCUAUUACUGCGAAUUAUACAUUCAUUUCUGCAUUAUUUAAAUUAGUAAUUUUCAAAAAAAAAAAACUACAAAUACAUUCACAAAUAUAAAACAAUCAAUGUUUGGAGUGUUAAAUUUAACCACAACAAUAAAAAACUCCAUUCUACUUACCAUAUAUAUAUAUAAAGAGUUGAAAAAAUAUUUAAGAAAAUGUAAAACAAUUGCAAUAAUUGAAAAUCGUUUCAUAAUAAUAUAAAAUUAGAAUAUGUAAAUAUACAAUAUAAGAAAAAAAAAAAUAAGUAAAUAUAAAAUAUAAGAAAUAGAAAAAUUACAUUAAAAAAUCUAUCUGAAAAAAAUGUAUAAUAAAAUAAAUAAUAAGUAAAUAUACAUUUUCAUAAAUAGAAAUAUUACAUUAAACAUCUAUCAUAAUAUUACAAUUUGAUAGAAAAGCAAAACAAUUAGAAUAACUAAUUAUACAAUAUAGUAAAAAUAAAUUAUAAGUAAAUAUACAAUAUACAAAAUAGAAAAAAUACAUUAAAUAUCUAUCUGAAAAAUUUAUAUUA